rnacentral:misc_RNA from 1 species
UAAAGUUUGAAAUUUUAAAAUUAAAGAUUUUAAAGUUUAAAUCAAGCAAAAUCAAGCCAAUCUAUCUACAAUCUAAGAAUACCAAAGGUUUAUACAGAUUGCAAUUCUUGAAAUAUGAUUCAAGAAAUCCUAAAUUUUCAUAUUUGAUUAUAACUUGAAUUCAUAUGAAAAUAACAUGUUCUUUCUAGUAUAAUUUUUAAGAUUAACACUAAAUUAUAUCUUAUUAUCCAAAAAUAAUGAACUUGGAAUGGAAGACAUCCAUUUCCAUUCCAUUUGAAAAGUGAGGGAAAAA